rnacentral:rRNA from 1 species
AUUGAACGCUGGCGGCAGGCCUAACACAUGCAAGUCGAACGAGUGGCGGACGGGUGAGUAAAGUCCGUGAAACAGCUUGACGGAGGGGGAUACUUACUGGACACGGUAGCUAAUACUGCAUAUCAUCAGAAGUGCCCAGGUGGGAUUAGCUAGUUGGUGGGGUAACGGCUCACCAAAGAGACGAUCCGUAGCUAGUCUGAGAGGAUGACCAGCAACAAUGGAAUUGAGACACGGUCCAGACUCCUACGAUAGGCAGGGGAGGAGAAUAUUGAACAAUGGACGCAACCCUGAUGCGAACAUGCCGAGUGUAGGAAGAAGGCCUUCGGGUUGUAAAGUUAUUUCAGCGGGAAGGCGUUACCCGCAGAAGAAGCACCGGCUAACUCCGUGCCAGCAGCCGCGGUAAUAC